rnacentral:rRNA from 1 species
GAUGAACGCUGGCGGCGUGCCUAAUACAUGCGAGUCGGGCGAACGGACGAGAAGCUUGCUUCUCUGAUGUUAGCGGCGGACGGGUGAGUAACACGUGGAUAACCUACCUAUAAGACUGGGAUAACUUCGGGAAACCGGAGCUAAUACCGGAUAAUAUUUUGAACCGCAUGGUUCAAAAGUAAAAGACGGUCUUGCUGUCACUUAUAGAUGGAUCCGCGCUGCAUUAGCUAGUUGGUAAGGUAACGGCUUACCAAGGCAACGAUGCAUAGCCGACCUGAGAGGGUGAUCGGCCACACUGGAACUGAGACACGGUCCAGACUCCUACGGGAGGCAGCAGUAGGGAAUCUUCCGCAAUGGGCGAAAGCCUGACGGAGCAACGCCGCGUGAGUGAUGAAGGUCUUCGGAUCGUAAAACUCUGUUAUUAGGGAAGAACAUAUGUGUAAGUAACUGUGCACAUCUUGACGGUACCUAAUCAGAAAGCCACGGCUAACUACGUG